ensembl:lncRNA
AAUUAGUAAUUUUAGAGAAUAAACAAGAUGACAAGUGCUUAACAUCAGAAGGUAGAAAGAAGGAAUUCAUCAGGGCUGGCAGCCUCCCACUCCUGUAUCCCAUUCACAUUAUCUCAGUCACACCAUAAUUGGAAGUUUAGGCAGUAGCUCUUUUUUUUUACACAGCAUAAAGUUAUACAAAUAACAAGCAUUAAAUAAGAAACAUUGCACCGCAUCGAGAUUAACAAAAGUAAUAAUGCUGACCUUGCUAGCACUCAAGUCUUUUCAACCGCGAAUAAUCUUCCACCCUGACAAGGAGGAGCAAGUCACCUAAUCCUCUAGCAUGUUCAUGAUAGAAGAAUUGCCACUCCUUCCCAAUUAAUCAUUCUCUGAGACAGUUUUCUUACACUUGAAAAGAGUACUCCUUAGCCUUUUGCCAGCCAGUGUUCCCCUUGUACAGAAAAGAGCCAGCUAGAGGUCUCCUGAAUUUGUUCCAGUGAUAACCCUUGUGUUUCAUGUCUAGCACACUGUAUUUGCCCAGGCCCGAAAGCCCCUUAAAUGGCCAUUGGGUGUCCUUGCCCCAGUAUAUCUAAAGAGAAAGCAUAUUUAAAUCUUUGUGAGGUUUUACACUGUUCAAAACUAAUGUCUCUUUGUAGUUUUUUCUCAGUGUUCAUUGGGGAGAGCUUGCCAUUUUACUAUGGUAUGAAGAUUAAUGACCCCUAAGAGGAGUCCUGUGGAUUUCAUUUGUAUUCUCGAUGCUGUGUUUUCACACUUUCAGAGAGCAGAGCUGAACUUCUGAACCACUCCGUCAACCCUGUUAAUUUGACAGUGAUUUACCUCUCUCUUAAUUCACACUGGAAUAUCAUCAGCUGUAGCUAUUUGCUUGUUACUCCACUUAUAAGGGGAAAUCCGUGGUUCAUUGCCACAGCACAAGGACUUAGUACACCCAAAUGUGUGAAUGACCUUGACUGGGAAAUAGACAAUUUUUUUCAGCCCGUGUUAAUACCUGAGUAUACCUAUAAUAGAUGUCAGGUGCUUCAUGUAUUCUGCUUCCAAUUCUCAUUGAGGAUUGAGGUCUCUAAAUUCUUUCUCUUUCUCCCUGGAAGGAUUCCAUUUCCUGGAGAAGGAUCUACGUUCAAGAGAUGAAGCUGUCAUCAGUGUGUAUAUUUAUACUCAUGUGAGUUUUGAAUAAUGAAUAGUAGAAAAGAUGGAGUUCAAAGUUAUGCCUAAUGAAAACCUUGUAAAGGCCAAUGCAAUUACACCUGUAGCUAAGAAUUUUUGGUGUACUUCAAGAGUGUGCAUAGACAUCAUUUCAUACCUCAUUUUUGCCAAGCUGUACUGACAGUGCUCCUGGAAACACUGGUUUCCAAACCAACAAGCAGCAGCAACAUCUGCAACUGCAGUGAGCACUGAACUUUGCAGGAUAACAUUUCAUAUUGGAGAACAGGCUAAAGUGGGGUCUGACUGCCUCAAUGGAUGUUACCAGCUUUACAGAAGGAAUGCUUGAGGAAAUUUCUACUGUUAGACUUGUUGAUACACUUUUUGAGACCAUGAAACACCAAAAUGCAGAUGCUGUCAGCAGGAGGAUGGUCUCAGUGUCACAGCCUCCUGAAGUUUAAUAGACAUCUUUACCUUUCUUGCAUAGAUAAAAAAGUAGAUCAGCAAGACUGGAAAAGAAAGGCAGUGUGUCUCAACAGAGCGUCAGAAACAGCUGAAGACAACCGACAUCUAUUGCAAACCCAAUGCAGAAGAACCAAAGUUCCAACAAACUCCAGGCCAGACACAAUUGCUCUUCUAUUGUGGUGCCACCAAAGGAAGUGUCUAGGGGCAGUACUGGCUCCUGGAUCUCCCCUUGUUGGGGAUCUUUGAGGAAUCUCACACAUAAAAAGUUUACUUGCAUUAUUUUUAAAUGAUUAUAUUUUAAAAGCACUAUGUCUUUAGUAAAUGCUGCUCCCUUUAAAAUAACAAAAUCAACAGAAACAUUAGUUAGCUGCUUCACAUGAUAUAUGCCUUUCAAAAAUAUAAGCUUAGCAUUUACUUACGUUAUGCUUUAGUAAACUUGGCAAGAAAC